rnacentral:rRNA from 1 species
AGAGCGAACGCUGGCGGCAGGCUUAACACAUGCAAGUCGAGCGCCCCGCAAGGGGAGCGGCAGACGGGAGAGUAACACGUGGGAACGUACCUUUCGGUUCGGAACAACCCAGGGAAACUUGGGCUAAUACCGGAUACGUCCGUAAGGAGAAAGAUUUAUCGCCGAAAGAUCGGCCCGCGUCUGAUUAGCUAGUUGGUGAGGUAACGGCUCACCAAGGCGACGAUCAGUAGCUGGUCUGAGAGGAUGAUCAGCCUCACUGGGACUGAGACACGGCCCAGACUCCUACGGGAGGCAGCAGUGGGGAAUAUUGGACAAUGGGCGCAAGCCUGAUCCAGCCAUGCCGCGUGGGUGAUGAAGGCCCUAGGGUUGUAAAGCCCUUUCGGCGGGGAAGAUAAUGACGGUACCCGCGAGAAGAAGCCCCGGCUAACUUCGCGCCAGCAGCCGC